ACACAGAGGGGGGAGGAGCGUACAGAGUCAAGAAAAAUGCAGAGGACGACAGCUCAACAUACAUUAGGCAGAAACUUGGAACUUGGUGAAGCACAGCGACAAGAGUAUAGUAACGUUUAAAUAAAGAGAGAAAAGAAUACGAUUUAGAUUGAGACAGGGAAAAAGGGCCAGUUGGAAAUCCAUCUCGUAAGUGAACAGUGUGACAGUGAAGUGGAAGUACAGACUGGUUUCCAUCCACUGUGAGCAGACUGCCAAACAGCAUGGCUGACAAAGUGAAUGAGGAAUCGACUAAUAAUCCAAGGAAAAAGGACCAGGACUGGGGCUAUGAAGAAGGUGUAGAGUGGGGACUCCAUUACCCAACAGCCAAUGGUGAGUACCAGUCUCCCAUCAACUUGAACUCCAGGGAGGCUCAAUAUGACCCAUCCCUCCUGGAUGUCCGCCUGUCACCAAACUACGUGGUGUGUCGUGACUGUGAAGUUAUAAAUGAUGGACACACUGUACGUAUCCUUCUCAAGUCAAAGUCAGUGGUCAGCGGCGGUCCAUUACCGAGCGAUCACGAGUAUGAGCUUCACGAGGUCCGAUUCCACUGGGGCAAAGAGAAUCAGAGAGGAUCAGAACACACAGUCAACUUUAAGGCUUUUCCUAUGGAGCUUCAUUUGAUUCACUGGAACAGCACACUGUUCAACUCUCUGGAGGAUGCUCUGGGGAAGAAGAACGGAGUUCUCAUUAUUGCUCUUUUCGUGCAGAUUGGCAAAGAGCAUCUGGGUCUGAAAGCCAUCACAGAAGUUCUACAGGACCUGCAGUACAAGGGGAAGAGCAAGAUAAUACCCUGCUUUAAUCCAAACACUUUGCUGCCUGAUCCAUUAUUGAGAGACUACUGGGUGUAUACAGGAUCUCUGACAACACCACCUUGUAGUGAAAAUGUAAUAUGGAUUCUCUAUCGCUACCCACUUACCAUAUCACAAUUACAGAUUGAAGAGUUUCGGAGGCUUCGUUCACAUAUAAAAGGCGCAGAACUGCCAGAGGGGAAUGAUGGGAUAUUGGGGGACAAUUUCCGCCCAACCCAACCACUGAGUGAUCGAAUUGUUAGGGCGGCAUUCCAGUGAUUUGCAUUUUGCUCUGCAAACUUAAAAAAAAAAAAAAGACCUUCAAACACAAACAUGGGAAAAAUGAGACAAUGUGAAGAACAGCAAGAACAGAAGGGAAGGAGAGAGCUGAAGAAGUUUGACCAUAGAGUACAGAAAUACAUACGGUAGACCCAGUUUCGAAAGUACUCACCCCCCCCUGUAAUGUGUCAUCAUAUGUUCACAUAAACAGAGUAGAGAUCUUUAAAAAGAUGAGGCAGCUCAUUUGCAUAUGACAAUAUGUUGUAUCUUAAAUAUUUGAAAUUCCUCAAUAAUAUGAAUGUCAUAAAGAUAAUGUCUGUGUGGUAUAUAGUAAAUAGUUUCCGCUAAGGCUAGUGUGUUAAUAUUUUGAACUAAAACUAAUGUAAUAUAAUGACAAGUAACUCACCCACUAUCUUAAAAGAAAAUCAUACUUUUUAAAUGUUUGUACACAAAUUGUUGGGUCUUUUGAGUUCUAGCCAACCCAUCAAGUUGAAUAAAUAAUUUGUUAUUGCCUA